GAUGAAGAACGCAGCGAAAUGCGAUAAGUAAUGUGAAUUGCAGAUUUCAGUGAAUCAUCGAAUCUUUGAACGCACAUUGCGCCCCCUGGUAUUCCGGGGGGCAUGCCUGUCCGAGCGUCAUUACAACCCUCAAGCUCAGCUUGGUGUUGGGCCCCGCCGCCCCGGCGGGCCCUAAAGUCAGUGGCGGUGCCGUCCGGCUCCGAGCGUAGUAAUUCUUCUCGCUCUGGAGGUCCGGUCGUGUGCUCGCCAGCAACCCCCAAUUUUUUUCAGGUUGACCUCGGAUCAGGUAGGGAUACCCGCUGAACUUAAGCAUAUCAAUAAGCGGAGGA
rnacentral:misc_RNA from 1 species